rnacentral:rRNA from 1 species
UACGUAGGUGGCAAGCGUUGUCCGGAAUUACUGGGUGUAAAGGGCGUGUAGGCGGGAAAGCAAGUCAGAUGUGAAAUCCCAUGGCUUAACUGUGGAGCUGCAUCUGAAACUGUUUUUCUUGAGUAUCGGAGAGGAAAGUGGAAUUCCAAGUGUAGCGGUGAAAUGCGUAGAGAUUUGGAGGAACACCAGUGGCGAAGGCGGCUUUCUGGACGGCAACUGACGCUGAGACGCGAAAGCGUGGGGAGCAAACAGG